CCUACGGGAGGCAGCAGUGAGGAAUAUUGGUCAAUGGCCGUAAGGCUGAACCAGCCAAGUCGCGUGAAGGAUGAAGGACCUAUGGUUUGUAAACUUCUUUUAUAGGGGAAUAAAGGUAUCCACGUGUGGAUUUUUGCAUGUACUUUAUGAAUAAGCAUCGGCUAACUCCGUGCCAGCAGCCGCGGUAAUACGGAGGAUCCGAGCGUUAUCCGGAUUUAUUGGGUUUAAAGGGUUCGUAGGUUGUUUUUUAAGUCAGCGGUGAAAGUUUGUGGCUCAACCAUAAAAUUGCAGUUGAUACUGGCAGACUUGAGUGUAUUUGAGGUAGGCGGAAUGCGUGGUGUAGCGGUGAAAUGCAUAGAUAUCACGCAGAACUCCGAUUGCGAAGGCAGCUUACUAAGCCAUAACUGACACUGAAGCACGAAAGCGUGGGGAUCAAACAGGAUUAGAUACCCUAGUAGUC
rnacentral:rRNA from 1 species